rnacentral:rRNA from 1 species
GAGGGGGAAAGUGGGGGACCGCAAGGCCUCACGUUAUUGGAGCGGCCGAUGGCUGAUUAGCUAGUUGGUAGGGUAAAGGCCUACCAAGGCGACGAUCAGUAGCUGGUCUGAGAGGACGAUCAGCCACACUGGGACUGAGACACGGCCCAGACUCCUACGGGAGGCAGCAGUGGGGAAUUUUGGACAAUGGGGGAAACCCUGAUCCAGCAAUGCCGCGUGUGCGAAGAAGGCCUUCGGGUUGUAAAGCACUUUUGUCAGGGAAGAAAUCCUUUGGGCUAAUACCCUAGGGGGAUGACGGUACCUGAAGAAUAAGCACCGGCUAACUACGUGCCAGCAGCCGCGGUAAUACGUAGGGUGCAAG